AUUGAACGCUGGCGGCAUGCCUUACACAUGCAAGUCGAACGGCAGCAUGGAGAGCUUGCUCUCUGAUGGCGAGUGGCGAACGGGUGAGUAAUGCAUCGGAACGUACCGUGUAAUGGGGGAUAACGUAGCGAAAGUUACGCUAAUACCGCAUACGACCUGAGGGUGAAAGCAGGGGAUCGCAAGACCUUGCGUUAUACGAGCGGCCGAUGUCAGAUUAGCUAGUUGGUGAGGUAAAGGCUCACCAAGGCGACGAUCUGUAGCGGGUCUGAGAGGAGGAUCCGCCACACUGGGACUGAGACACGGCCCAGACUCCUGCGGGAGGCAGCAGUGGGGAAUUUUGGACAAUGGGGGCAACCCUGAUCCAGCCAUGCCGCGUGAGUGAAGAAGGCCUUCGGGUUGUAAAGCUCUUUCGGCCGGGAAGAAAUCGCACAGGCUAAUACUCUGUGUGGAUGACGGCACCGGCAUAAGAAGCACCGGCUAACUACGUGCCAGCAGCCGCCGUAA
rnacentral:rRNA from 1 species